rnacentral:rRNA from 1 species
UACGGGGGGGGCAAGCGUUGUUCGGAAUUACUGGGCGUAAAGGGCUCGUAGGUGGCCAACUAAGUCAGACGUGAAAUCCCCGGGCUCAACCCGGGAACUGCGUCCGAUACUGGCAGGCUUGAAUCCGGGAGAGGGAUGCGGAAUUCCAGGUGUAGCGGUGAAAUGCGUAGAUAUCUGGAGAACACCGGUGGCGAAGGCGGCAUCCUGGACCGGUAUUGACGCUGAGGCGCGAAAGCCAGGGGAAGCAAAGCGGGAUUAAGAUGACCCGGUA